rnacentral:rRNA from 1 species
UACGGGGGGGGGCAAGCGUUGUUCGGAAUUACUGGGCGUAAAGGGCUCGUAGGCGGCCAACUAAGUCCGACGUGAAAUCCCCAGGCUUAACCUGGGAACUGCGUCGGAUACUGGAUGGCUUGAUUCGGGAGAGGGAUGCAGAAUUCCAGGUGUAGCGGUGAAAUGCGUAGAUAUCUGGAGGAAUACCGGUGGCGAAGGCGGCAUCCUGGACCGACAUUGACGCUGAUGAGCGAAAGCUAGGGGAGCAAACGGG